GUAAAUUCUCUGGGUUAGCACCUCUCUGGACAUUAUAAGUCAUCCCCGCUUUGAGUAAAUGCUUGCAAAGUAGUAUUAAGGAAACUUCAUCCGGCUGUCUCACACAUCUACUCAACCAAUUGAAAAAGGAAGUCAAUUUAUUCAACCACGUGAACCCAUUUGCAGCCAGCCAUCUCUCCCUCGCUGCCUCACCCAUCAUAUUAACAAACCCAUCUCUAAACGCAUUAUCAACCGCUGCCAAUUCUCUUUGCAUGUCUUCUCGAUUAACUUCUCUUAUGAAGUCCUUCAACUCAUUCACCAGCAUCUCCUCAAAUGAUUCCUGUCCUUUCUUGAAUCCUCCUUGCAUCCAUACCUCACAAUAGAUUGGAAAAUCAUUAAAUCCUCAGGCAGACUCGUUGAAACAAGAACUGAACCCUCAGAAGG
rnacentral:misc_RNA from 1 species